AGCAGUUGCUCUUCUUAUCAGUUUCUUCUGCCUCGUCGUGUUCUAGGAGCAGUUCCAGUAGCAGUUCCUUUCAGUUUGCCCCUCACUUCCUUCACACCCAGUUAUCAUAGGCCUUUCUUCUUACAGUGUGAAAAACAGAAAGAGGAGCAAAAAAAUAGAGAACCACGACUGGGAACAACCACAACGCUCCUUGCCAGCUUCACCAAUUUCCCAGCAUCUCCAAGAAUUAAACACCUAUGAUUUCAACUGAAAGUUUUAGAAGGUGAGAAUACUUUGAAGAGAAAACAGAGAGAUGUUGCAACAAGUCUCAUAUUUGUUCCUUGGUCGUUCAUUUUAUGAAAUGUUGGUAGCUGAGAACAUCUCUUUUGGCCAUGACUGUGAUAUGAAACCCAAGCCAGGAAGGUGAACGGGGUGAAAGGGUUCUAAGACGAGGAGGACCGCAUGUAUACAGAUUAUGCUAUGAUUUUUUUCCUUCUAUCUUUUUUUUCUCCUGGGAUUCCUUUGGUAGAAGAAUUAAAAGCAAAAUGAGGAUGAUAGAGAUGGAGGGAGUUCAAGGGGAGGAAAACUGCUAAAGGACUUACUGGC